GUGCCCGGUCCAUGGCGCCCUGUUUUCAACCUCUGCUCUUACCUUUAGUUCACUCCUCUUUCAGGAGUCCAGCACCUGAAGAAUGAUAGUGGCCAGCGUGGAAAUGCACAAACCACCUUGUGUAAGAUACUGCACCCUACCCGCUCCUGUAUCACCACCACCAGGACUCCUGGUACAUACUCCAGGACAGAUACAGGAGAGUUGAGUCGUCCUGUUCCUGGCAUUCCUAUCUGGGCUACACUACCUACCCCAUCGCCAGAGAAAGGUGUUUUCAGCAAGUGGAAGACAAAAGAAAUGAGGCUGAGGAAAUCCAAGUUCCCACUGACAGCUUCUCCUGGGUCUGCAUUACUGACCACCUGAGAGCCCUCAGUGCCGGCCCGCCACCCCCAGCUUGUUCUCCACCACUGCUCAAGUGACCACACAGCUGGUGCUCUCAGCAGCUCCUAGCUCAGGAACUUUCUGUGACUUCCCAGGGCCUGCAGAGCACUCCUGGCAUCGUUCCCCCACCAACCUGCUCUCAAUCCACCUUCCAGCCUUCUUUUCACAUGGUCCCCACAUGCCUUAGCUGGCCAUCUGCACCUUGUCGCACUUUGACUUUGUUCAUGCUACCUCCUCUGUCUCUUUCCCUACCUGCACCAGCAAAAUCCAUCCCAGUGUUCAAGAACCAGAGCAAACGCAUUAGCCCCAGACAGCCUGGCAGGCAGGAGGCUUCCUUCCCUGGAUUUCUCGCUGGAUGACCUUGAUGACUUGUUCUGCCCCUGGCAGUGACUGCUCUGCUCCCUGUCCUGUCUCCCCUGCCAGAUAGCACUCUGGGCCACGUGUCUGAUUCCUCUUGCUGGGCCCAGUACACUGGCACUCAGUGAAUGUUUCCUCAAUCACCAAAUGUAUUCGUUUCCUGGGGCCACUAUGACAAAGUACCACAUGCUGAGUGGCUUAAACAACAGAAAUUGAUUGUCUCACAGUUCUGGUGGCUAGAAGUCCAAGAUCUAGGUGUCAGCAGGAUGGGUUCCUUCUGAGGCUGCUCCAGGCCUUUCUCCUUGGCUGGGGAUGGCCAUCUUCUCCAUGUGUCGCUUCACAUGGAGUUUCCCCUGUGUAUGUGUGUGUCUAUGUCCAAACUGCCCUUAUUUUUGAGGCAGAGUCUCGUUCUUGUGGCCCAGGCUGGAGUGCAAUGGCGUGAUUUCGGCUCUCUGCAACCUCUGCCUUCUGGGUUCAAGUGAUUCUCCUGUCUCAGCCUCCCGAGUAGCUGGGAUUACAGGUUUGUACCAUCACACCCAGCUAAUUUUUGUAUUUUUACUAGAGAGGGGGUUUCACCAUGUUGGCCAGGCUGGUCUCAAACUCCCGACCUCAGGUGAUCCUCCUGCCUCAGCCUC
rnacentral:lncRNA from 1 species